rnacentral:hammerhead_ribozyme from 1 species
AUCCAGCUAACGAAUUCCAAAUAGAACGAAACGUUCGUCCUAGAU